rnacentral:misc_RNA from 1 species
AACGCACCUUGCGCUCCUUGGUAUUCCGAGGAGCAUGCCUGUUUGAGUGUCAUUAAUAUAUCAACCUCUUUUAAAUUUUGAGAGUGUUUGGAUGUGGGGGUGUUAUUUUGCUGGCCUUUUCUAAAGGUCAGCUCCCCUGAAAUGUAUUAGCGGAACAAUUUGUUGACCGUUCAUUGGUGUGAUAGCAUAUCUACGCUAUUGACGUGAAGCAAGUUCAGCUUAUAACAGUCCAUUGACUUGGACAAUUCUCUAUUUAUUAAUGUGACCUCAAAUCAGGUAGGACUACCCGCUGAACUUAA